UUACAGAAGAAGAGAAAAUGAAAGUGGAGAAGGUUAUAUUGUCUUUUAAAAGAACUUCAUAAAAAUUGCACCAAAUCACUUGACAUUUCUUUCUUAGAUAUUAGAGGAUUCAGUUUACUGAACAAUGCCUAAACAAAAAUUUGGAAAAGCUGCAAUUCAUUAUAUCUUCGGAUAAAAACAUUAUUUUCUUUAAUGUUUUUACUUUUUCUUGUCGCACAAACCAAAUUGCAACUUCUGGAAAAACAUUUGUACUCGCUGUCCAGUAAAUUGACGUCUUCAAAAAAUUCAAAUCAUACGGUUCAAUUCUGAACAUCUUGUUCCGUUUAAAAGAUGACCGAAUAUCUUAGCAAAUAACCGCAUAAACACUCGUGCAGACAUAAGUAAUUAUUCUUCUUGCCGAUACGGUAUUGAACCGGAGAUGCGAUACAACGAGGCUGCGUUCGUUUCUCGAGGAAAGGUUCUCUCCCUCUCCUCUUCCGGUGUAGAAGUGACUCAGCGACGGUACACGCUCAAGUACCCAGAUGUGACGAGACACGAGACAGUCUCCGAUCCUGAAAAGUUCUGGUCGCCACAUGGCCUACAAUAAUAUACUUCCGUGCAGUCGUUUCUUUUUUCCACGACAGAGCUUUGUCGCGGAAACUAUGUACCCCCAUUUAGAAUACGGCGACCCUCGAAAAGUCUCGUAAGAUGAUUUCAUAAGGGAGAAAACGGAGUCGACUGAUCGGAUGAUGGACCGGGAUUCGAAUCCGGAAUCUUCCUCGCUUGCCGAGCGACUGCUUUAAUCUACAUUAAGCUAUCUCGGUUAAUCAACGACACAUAUUCCCCCAGUCCUUAUAAACGCAAACAAACAACACGUGCCAGGAAUAUGCCGGACUCGUAACACUUUAUUAAAUAAACGUAGGAAAUUUCGAUUGAAA